UACGUAGGGUGCAAGCGUUGUCCGGAAUUAUUGGGCGUAAAGAGCUCGUAGGCGGUUUGUCGCGUCUGCUGUGAAAACUCGGGGCUUAACUCCGGGCCUGCAGUGGGUACGGGCAGACUAGAGUGCGGUAGGGGAGACUGGAAUUCCUGGUGUAGCGGUGAAAUGCGCAGAUAUCAGGAGGAACACCGGUGGCGAAGGCGACUACCUGGCCUGUUCUUGACGCUGAGGCGCGAAAGCUAGGGGAGCAAACGGG
rnacentral:rRNA from 1 species